CACGAAGCUGGAUUCGCUAGUAAUCGCGCAUCAGCCACGGCGCGGUGAAUACGUUCCCGGGCCUUGUACACACCGCCCGUCAAGCCAUGGGAGCCGGGGGUACCUGAAGUGCGUAACCGCGAGGAGCGCCCUAGGGUAAAACUGGUGACUGGGGCUAAGUCGUAACAAGGUACC
rnacentral:rRNA from 1 species